AAUGAACGUUGGCGGCAUGGAUUAGGCAUGCAAGUCGGGGGAAUCCCAGCAAUGGGGGAACCGGCGUAAGGGGCAGUAAGGCAUGGGUACCUACCUUGGGGUUCGGGAUAGCCAUCAGAGAUGGUGGGUAAUACCGGAUGACGUCGUGAGACCAAAGAUUUAUCGCCCUUAGAGGGGCCCAUGUGAUAUUAGCUAGUUGGUGGGGUAACGGCCCACCAAGGCGAAGAUGUCUAGCGGGUGUGAGAGCACGACCCGCGCCACUCGCACUGAGACACAGGCGAGACGCCUACGGGUGGCUGCAGUCGAGGAUCUUCGGCAAUGAGCGCAAGCUUGACCGGGCGAUGCCGCGUGAGCGAUGAAGGCCUUCGGGUUGUAAAGCUCUUUAGUGGGGGAGAAAAGCCGCAAGGUGUGAUCUAUCCCAAAAAUAAGCACGGGCUAAGUUCGUGCCAGCCGCCGCCGUAA
rnacentral:rRNA from 1 species